CCUUCGAUAGCUCAGUUGGUAGAGCGGUGGACUGUAGAGAGAGAUGACGCAGAAUCGUAGUAAUCCAUAGGUCACUGGUUCAAAUCCGGUUCGAAGGA
rnacentral:tRNA from 1 species